GGAGCCUGCGGCUUAAUUUGACUCAACACGGGAAAUCUCACCAGGCCCGGACACCGGAAGGAUUGACAGAUUAACAGCUCUUUCUUGAUUCGGUGGGUGGUGGUGCAUGGCCGUUCUUAGUUGGUGGAGCGAUUUGUCUGGUUAAUUCCGRUAACGAACGAGACUCUAGCCUGCUAAAUAGGCGUCGUCAUUUAGGUGUGCGCGGCCGCAACUCACUGGCGACGUAUUAAAAUUCUUCUUAGAGGGACCGGCGGCUUCGAGCCGCACGAGAUUGAGCAAUAACAGGUCUGUGAUGCCCUUAGAUGUCCUGGGCCGCACGCGCGCUACACUGAAGGAAUCAGCAUGUUCUCCCUGGCCUAGAGGCCCGGGCAACCCGUUGAAACUCCUUCGUGCUGGGGAUUGGGGUUUGCAAUUGUCCCCCAUAAACGAGGAAUUCCUAGUAAGCGCGAGUCAUAAGCUCGCGUUGAUUACGUCCCUGCCCUUUGUACACACCGCCCGUCGCUACUACCGAUUGAAUGAUUUAGUGAGGUCUUCGGACCGACACGCGGUGGCUUCACGGCCGUCGGCGUUGCUGGGAAGUUGACCAAACUUGAUCAUUUAGAGGAAGUAAAAGUCGUAACAAGGUUUCCGUAGGU
rnacentral:rRNA from 1 species